rnacentral:rRNA from 1 species
GACGAACGCUGGCGGCGUGCUUAACACAUGCAAGUCGAACGGAAAGGCCCUGCUUUUGUGGGGUGCUCGAGUGGCGAACGGGUGAGUAACACGUGAGUAACCUGCCCUUGACUUUGGGAUAACUUCAGGAAACUGGGGCUAAUACCGGAUAGGAGCUCCUGCUGCAUGGUGGGGGUUGGAAAGUUUCGGCGGUUGGGGAUGGACGCGCGGCUUAUCAGCUUGUUGGUGGGGUAGUGGCUUACCAAGGCUUUGACGGGUAGCCGGCCUGAGAGGGUGACCGGCCACAUUGGGACUGAGGUACGGCCCAGACUCCUACGGGAGGCAGCAGUGGGGAGUAUUGCCCAGUGAGCGGAAGCCUGAUGCAGCAGCGCCGCGUGCGGGAUGACGGCCUUCGGGUUGUAAACCGCUUUCGCCUGUGACGAAGCGUGAGUGACGGUAAUGGAUAAAGAAGCACCGGCUAACUACGUG